CCUGUUUUCACCCGAGAAGAGAGAGUAAGGAGUUCACUAUAAGUCAUGGUGGGAACUUUGUCAUUCAAUCAGCUGUGAUACACAGUGAAGUGGCAGUAUAGGUAUUGAUUAGUUAGAAAAAUGGAGUAAAACAUUGGAAGGUGAUUCAUUUCUCAGCUGUUGCCAUAGAAAUAUCCUUUUACCUGCAACAUUCAGCCCUGCAUACAACAUCAUGAAGCCGUCAACCCCCAUCAGGUCUCAGCUGUGGACAGAUUUACCGCAGCAGUGACACAUUCUAGCAGCAGAGCAGGAUGUGUUGAAAUCUACCGGGGUGCCGGUGUUGUUGCGUCCCUUCCAAUGUCGAGACCAAACCUACGCUCCUGCUGGGAGGUAAAGGGACCAUUGUGGAAAAGAGGAAUUUUUACUUGCUGUGAGCCCAUUUUGAAAUUUCUCAGUUACAUCAUUCUGAAAAACAUCUUAACCCUCCACCUCCACCUCCAUCUCCAGCUCUCCAAUUCUCCUACCUUCUCAACUUGUCUGCUCGGGGGACCGAUUUAGCCCUGACAGGGUCACCUGAUCUCUGUGUCCACCAACCACAGAGCUCAGUGGCUGAACACAGCGUCAUACAAGCAUGUCAGGCUUGCA